rnacentral:rRNA from 1 species
GAUGAACGCUGGCGGCGUGCCUAAUACAUGCAAGUCGAGCGAACAGACGAGGAGCUUGCUCCUCUGACGUUAGCGGCGGACGGGUGAGUAACACGUGGAUAACCUACCUAUAAGACUGGGAUAACUUCGGGAAACCGGAGCUAAUACCGGAUAAUAUAUUGAACCGCAUGGUUCAAUAGUGAAAGACGGUUUUGCUGUCACUUAUAGAUGGAUCCGCGCCGCAUUAGCUAGUUGGUAAGGUAACGGCUUACCAAGGCAACGAUGCGUAGCCGACCUGAGAGGGUGAUCGGCCACACUGGAACUGAGACACGGUCCAUACUCCUACGGGAGGCAGCAGUAGGGAAUCUUCCGCAAUGGGCGAAAGCUUGACGGAGCAACGCCGCGUGAGUGAUGAAGGUCUUCGGAUCGUAAAACUCUGUUAUUAGGGAAGAACAAAUGUGUAAGUAACUAUGCACGUCUUGACGGUACCUAAUCAGAAAGCCACGGCUAACUACGUG